GCAGGGCAGACAAUGACGGUAGGGUCUGCAGCAAAGACACAGGCUCCUUGAAGACGCCCGUGGUGAGAUCAGCCCCAGGUCGCCGCUUCCACAGAUGGGCCUUUUCCUAAAGCGGAUGAAGGGAGUCAAAUAGGCCAGCUUCAUGUCUUGAUCUGCCUUUGCUGUCAUUCAUGCAUCUGUCCUCAUGAAGGCUUAAUCUACCAUGUUUAUCAGAAGUCUCAGCCUAAAUUCAUUCAAUUUUUACCUAGAGAUGAGGAAUGUGUUAAAUCACUCUACUCCACAAGGAACCAAACCAAACAGCAUCAGCACCAGGCUGAGUCGCGGAAAGGAUCUGUCAGGCCACUCCACUGGCAUCGACUCGGCUCAGGAGCUACGUUCAAAGGAGGGACCCAAGGAUUGAGAAGAACAAUGGACUUUUUGAUGUGUGGUGCAACAAACGCAUAGCUGAGGGCUGUAAAUCGGGACGGAUCACUAGGUCUGCCCACCAGCCGUGAGGGAAGUGGGGAGAAGCUGUCACCCCAACUUGAGUUCAAGAAGACUC
rnacentral:antisense_RNA from 1 species